UGAAUCACGUGCAUGUACACGCAAGCUUCCGCUAGCAGGGAUUUAUUAAGGGAGCUAUGCGCAGGUUCUGGCGUACGUACGGUUUUAUAAAUCUAAUUUUUUUUGUGCGUAGGCAAAAUCUGACUUUUGUGCUUACACACACUUUAAGGAUGAAAUCUACACAAAGUUUUAUAUAUGAGGCCCCAGGGCUCAUUCGACACAGUCUCCUGCUGAAGAGGAAGAAAGCUUUGAUGGCUCACUGGUUGGCACUUAUAAUUGUGACUUGCACUUAAAAGUCUCUCAAGACUGCUGCAGUGGCUACUCAUUGACUACUGAAGGUUUUGCAAACAUGUGGUCUGGAGCACGAGCCACAUAUGGUAUAAGCAAGGGGCCUGUUUGCUAUGAAAUGAGGGUAAUUCUUGCUAGUUAACUUGAAAAUCAGCUUAAAGGGAUCGUUCACACAAUAAUAUAAAAGUGUUGUCAUUUACUUACCCUCAUGUCAUUCCACACCUAAACUUUAUUUCUUCUGUGGAACACAGAAAUUACAUGUAAGGCAGAAUUUUCCUGCUGUUCUUUUUCAUAUAAUACAAGUGGAUGAGGUCUGCCAUGCUCCAAAAAUAACAAAAAUCACCACCAAAGUAGUCUAUACGACCUAUGUGCUAUAUUCCAAGUCUUCUGAAGUAAUAUGAGAUCAAAUCUCAUUUGGCUUGUAUAUGUAAUGGUAGCCAGCUCUUGGGUAUCUGUGCAGUAUGUAAACUUCACUCCCUUGGUCUCAAGAGGCGCACUAGCGACUGACGCUAGGGGCUGUAGCCUUUAGCCUCCUUGUUAGUGCGCCCAAGUGGAUAACGGUUCGAAUCCCGUUUAUAAUAUAAUAUGGUGCAUUAAGAUGCAUCGCGCCGGGUUUGAUGUCAUAGAUGUCAUUAAAAUCAAAGUAAUUCGUUCUUGUUCCAUGUUCCUUGACGGAUUUUCAUUGAUUUCAAAUCCGACAUUAUAUGAACUGGGGUGGCAAGUUUGACUAUGCACAAGAAUAAAUUAGAUUUGAGAGCUAAAAUGAAGCUGAACAUUUUCAACAAAUAAGGAUUUGAAUUUCCAUCUGCUCCUCACACAAAGCUAUUGUAUGGCUUAAGAAAACAUAAGGAUAUAGCACACAGGUUGUAUGGGCUACUUUUAUGGUGCAUUGUCAAUUUGAAGCUUGACAACAUCUGUCCCCAUUCACUUUCAUUGUAUGGAAGAGAGCAGUCUGUGAAUUCUGCACAGUUUUGUGUUCAUACCUAGAAGCUAUAUCCAGUGAUUAUAUCAAUAUGUAUACUAUAUCUACAUUGAUUCCAUAUAACAAUGCUUAUGAUGCUAAAUUCAUAAAUUGAGCAAUAGAGGAGCCUGCAUUUUCUACUGGAGUAUUUUAGUACAUUUAUACAAAUUUUAAUAAAGAAUUAUAUUACCCCUAUCAAGCCCCUGACUCCCAAACCCAGUCUGCACCCAGCAAACAUUUUUUUUAUCCAAUUUCAUACAUUUCAUGUCUCUUAGAGUAUGUAUUUGGUGUUUUAUGCACACCAGUAAGCAGUUUCAUUUGAGUUAGCAAUGUACAAAAACACAAAAGCUGUGUACCCAGUUGAGCUGAUAAUUUAGAUAUUAAAUUGUUUAUUUGGUUGUAGUCUCAGUUCUAUAAAAACAUUGCACAUUAUAGGUUAAACACAACAGUUCACAAAAUUACAUAAGUUAGAGGGCCACAUAUGUUUAUUAUAGAAAUACAUAUUUGUAAAAAAAAAAAAAAAAAAAAGAUGCUUAAGGUACUUAUGGAUUUGCAAAGUAUUGAACUGCAAAUUGUGUCUACACAUCGGUUACCGUAGGCUCAUACACAGUGUAUGCACAGCAUGCACAGUAUCUAUUCUUUCAAAUUUGAUUGUUAUGGUUCCCAAACCUGCUUGGACCCUGACAAUAGCCGCUUGUGGCUAUAUUUAUUAUUAUUAUUAUUAUUCUUUUUUCUGCACUAAAAGUUUCUGGGCGUCAGAAACCGUAGGUUGUAGAGACCCCAAAUUCGGCAGGAUGUUUCCAAAUCCCCCUCACCACUCAGGCAUACAGACAGGGCCGGAGUGGCAAUAGGGAAGAUCGGGAGAAUUCCCGCUGGGCCGGUCAAAAAUUGGUCUGGUUAGAUCCGCAUGUUGAUUGACAAACUUUCAUCAUAUGUCGCAUAACAAUUGCCAACAGUCCGUAACAUCCGGUAUUCAAAGGAUCAGAAUUGCGUUCCGAAUUAUAGCGGACGCAGUCUGUAUUUUAUCAUCUCACACCCAAACAAAUGAGAGAGUAGCAUGUGAGAGACGAAACUGAUGUUGCGCCGCUUCACUUGACAGCGCGGGAAGGAUCACGGAAGAUCCAUCGAGAACAGAUAGGCUACUAAUAGCUGAAUGGAUGAACGUGCUUUAGGUAGUCUACAAGAUCAUCACAAGUUUAAUACUGACUGCAGUCUCACAAUCUCAAUUAAUCUCUGAAAUCCUCUUCCCUAGCAGUGCAGAAUGAUAAUAGCAAAAUUAUUUUUUGUCACAAAAUAAUAGAAUACUUAAAGUAAAUGUAUACAGAUGCAACAGCACGACACGGUACGAAAAUAAUGGGACUUUACAGCUCUCAAAAGAUUAAACUCAAUGAAACAAAUUGCACAGAGUGCCUUCAAUGUUGUAUAAUGCGAUAAAACCCUCUUAAAGAGACAGUAACCAUUUUGCCUUUGUCCUGAACAUUUAUAUUCCAAGUAAAAGAAAAGUACAAAUGUGUUAUUUUUAGUCUUUUGUUUCACUCUUAUCAUUGUAAAAUGGCAUGUUUUUGAAUGGCAUGUAAAAAUUUAAAAACAAUCACUGAACUUUAAUUGUUUCACUGGAUCUGUUGCUAUUUUAAUGAUCUAAAAUACAAAGCACUGACCAUUUAAAGUGUGAGCAUGUACAUCUUGAAAGAGUUAUAAACAUUUACAGUUCUAUAGUGUUAUUAUGUGCCUAGAUAGUCUUUAAAAUAAACUUAGUUUACCCAAAAAUGAAAUUUCUCUCAUCAUUUACUCACCCUCAUGCCAUCCCAGAUGUGUAUGACCUUCUGUCUUCUGCUGAACACAAAUGAAGCUUUUUAGAAGAAUUUCUCAGUUCUGUUGGUCCUUUCAAUGCAAGUGAAUGGUGAUCAGAACUCAGAAGGUACAAAAAUCACAUAAAUGCAGCAUAAAAGUAAUCCAUACAACUCCAGUGGUUUAAUCUAUGUCUUCAGAAGCGAUAUGAUAGGUGUGGGUGAGAAACAGAUCAAUAUUUAAGUUUUCUUUUUUUUUUUUACUAUAAAUUCUCCUCCCUGCCCAGUAGGGGGCGAUAUGCUUAUGUAAAUCACCAAAAACAGAAGAAGAACUUAUGAGAGAAGAGUGCUUGUGAAAGUGAAAGUGGAGAUUUAUAGUAAAAAAUGACUUAAUUAUUGAUCUGUUUCUCACCGCUUCUCAUUUACUUGCACUGAAUGGACCAACAGUUCUUCUAAACAUCUUCAUUCAUGUUCUGCAAAAGAAAGUCAUACACAUCUGGGAUGGCAUGAGGGUGAGGAAAUGAUCAAAUAUCCCUUUAACAUUCACUUAUAUUUACAACACAUACAGUGAUGUCUUACGACAAAGUGAAAAUCGUAGUGAAUGCCGUAUGUGGUAUAAUGACAUGGAGAGCUUAAAUAAUUUUCAAGUAAUUACAUAUAUUGCAUAUUUUUGCUGUGAUCUUGUUUUAUUGUUAUCAUCUUCACCUCCAAUCCCCCUUUUGGGUGUGUGCUGACUUGGACACGACAUCCCGGGCUGAAUAUGAAUCCUACUCUGGCCCUGCAUACAGACACACAUCCGUUGGACACUAGGUGGCGCUAUUGUGAACAAAACAAACAAAAAUCACAUUUUGGGCCAUAACUCUUGAAUCGUAAGGGCUAGAAACAAAAUUAUUUUUUCCUGUGAUUCCUUGCAUCAAAUGUUUGCUUCACCCCUUCGAUUUCCUGCUAUUUUGGAUUGUUUGAAAAAAAUUAAAAAACAAAUUCGUCCUAGGCCGUUCGCCUGAUCGGAAUCAAACCAGUGCAGAUAGAUUCAGCAACAUCCCAAUAUGAAAAGUUAUCAAAGGAAUUUUUACAUUUUUAUUCAUUGUCAAACAGUAUGCCAAGUGGGCAGGGCCACUUUUACUAAAAUGGUUAUAACUCUUGAACGGAAUGAGAUAUUAUCACAAAAUUUGGUGCACUUAUGUAUGAGGUCAUUCUGAGGACACACACACAAAAAUGCACCUCUGCCUCUUGGGGGCGCUAUAAUAAUUAAAAACAUAAAAAUGGCUCUAACUAUGGAACCAAUGGUUCGAUUGACUUGAAAUUUUGCAUGCAGUUUAUUUAUCCAUAGUGUCCUCAAGGUCUAUGAGGACAAUUUUGAAAAACAUGGCCGCCAUCGACCAAUCAGGUUUCAGCAGCUUUUAUAUAGCGUUAAAUAAGGGAGAUUGGAAUGAAACCUGGAAGUCCUAUUUGUCUCUUGGCCCAAGAGUUCUGUGCAAAAUAUUAAAAAAAUUAGCCACUGGGAGGUGGUAUGGCGUUUUACAUUCGUGUAAAUUGUUGUAUAUACUGCUGUCUCUUCUCGCUUUUCCCCCCAUGUUGGUGAAUCUGCUGCUGCGGGUGCGGGCAUAACGUCUGGGCCGGCUUGUUGGAGUUGCAGGGAGCCGGGGCACUUCCAGGACCAAUGCCCCGUGAUGGAACUGGGGGUAUUGGUCCAAGUCCCUGACACCCCAUGGGCCGCCCCCUGCAUACCUGCGAGUAUCAGGGGAAGUACAUAUCAAGCCUUGGUGGAUACCUGUUGUAAUCAAACCACUAUCAACCAAUGUUUUGUUCAAGACAAGGUUUUGGGCACGGGGUGGAAGGUGAAGGUGAGGUGUGUGCAUGGGGAUAUUCAAAGUUACCCUAUAGGGGUAGUCACUAUUCAAUUUCUGGGGCAAAAUCAUAGUGUCGAGGCUGCGGUUAUUUCCCGCAUCACCCAUCCUUCAACAAAGCUUAUCGGUGUGUGGUGUGUGAUUCGCUGGCUGGGAGGCUGAGCCAGGGCCGUCUACGUCAGCUCCACGUCAGGAUGAUGUAAGGGAGGGGGAUGUCUCGGCUUCCCCAGCCCUUAGAGGAUUCCCUGCUGGGGAUUUCUCUCUGGAGUAGUCGCGGUGUGACGAGACCCUUAGGCACACCUUUGAUCAAAUGAAAGUGAUUGAUGGUCAAUGUAUCCAGCCAGAUGUUGCACUCACUUAUGAGUACUUUUCAAUUAUUAGAGUUAGGUUGUAUCGAGUAAUGCAGGAUGCUCAGACAAAAGAAGAUACAACCCAGUUGUUGAAUACUGAAGAGCUGUCAGGAAAUGCUAUUCCAGAUGGCUCAUCAUAAUCCAAUGGUGGGUCACUUAGGGCGAGAAAAAACAGAAAACCGUCUUAUGGCCCAUUUCUAUUGGCCGGGCAUUCACGGGGAUGUUCGCAGGUGGAGUGCAGCAUGCUGUGAAUGUCAGUUGGUGAAUCCACAGGCCACCUCAAGAGCCCCAUUGCACCCUCUGCCAUUAAUCGAGGUCCCCUUUGAGAGAAUUGGAAUGAACCUCGUCUGGCCAUUAGAAAAGACGGCACACAGACAUCGCUUUGUUUUAGUUCUGGUGGAUUACGCAGUGCGAUAUCCGGAAGCAGUACCUUUUCGCAACAUCUCAGCAUGCAGUGUUGCGGAGGCACUCUUCAGAAUUAUCUCCCGAGUGGGGAUUCUGAAAGAAAUCCUCACUGAUCAAGGCACUACUUUCAUGUCAUAUACACUAUGCGAGCUAUACGAAUUGUUGGGUAUUAAAUUGAUUCGCACCGGUGUUUAUCACCCACAAACAGAUGGAUUGGUGGAAUGAUUUAAUAAAACCCUGAAAAAUAUGAACCGUAAGUUUGUGCAUGAGGACGCUAGGAAUUGGUAUAAGUGGCUCGAACCCCUAUUAUUUGCAGUUCGAGAGGUUCCGCAAGCCUCCACAGGGUUUUCCCCAUUCGAGCUACUGUUUGGGCAUCAACCAUGUGGCGUGCUCGACAUCAUGCGGGAAGCUUGGGAGGAGGUAUUUGACUACCUUCAAAUAGUAAAAACGAAAUUCAGUACGUUCUUGAUCUUAGAACAAAACUCCACACUUUGGGUCAACUAACAGGAGAAUUUGCUUCAAGCUCAAGAAUGCCAAAGCCGGCUGUAUGAUAGGAUAUGGGAAUUUGUACCAGGAGACAAAGUGCUUGUAUUGCUCCCAACUUCGAGCUCCAAAUUACUCGCCAAGUGGCAAGUGCCCUUUGAGGUCACACAAUGAGUGGGAGAUCUCGAUUAUGAGGUAAAAUGAACAGAUAGAGGUGACGCACAUCAAAUAUACCAUCUCAACCUCCUGAAAUUAUGGAGGGAGGCAAUGGUGGUUCCGGAGAGGGCGGAGCUCGGGCCGGAGGUGAACUUAAAAGACAAUCUUCUCAGUCACUUGUGGAGAACACCUCUCACCAUCUCAACUCACAGACAUUGCUAAGUUGCAGAAAGAAUUUGCGGACGUGUUCUCGCCUCUGCCUGGUCGUACAAACCUCAUACAGCACCACAUUGAGACUACACCCAGGUAAGUGGUACAUACUCAUCCCUACCGACUUCCCGAGCCCAAGGAAAAAGUGGCACAAGAAGAAUUGGAUGCAAUGCUUGAGAUGGGAGUAAUAGAAGAAUCCCACAGUGACUGGUCCAGCCCGGUAGUGGACCAAAAAGGAGGUAAGACAAUUCCUGGGGCUGGCUGGCUAUUAUUGUAGGUUUGUACCUAACUAUUCGAUUGUCAUCAGCUCGCUGAUUGAUCUUACUAAAAAGGCAGCACCAGAUCCAGUCCAGUGGACGGGGCAAUGUCAACAGGCAUUUAUGCAGGUGAAAGCUGUACUUUGUGGCAGGCCACUUUUACAUACACCUGACUUCUCUCUCCCUUUCGUUUUACAGACGGAACGCUUCAGACAGGGGGUUGGGGGUGGUGCUCUCACAGUUGGUGGAGGAGGAGGAACGGCCAGUGCUGUACAUUAGACAGAAACUCUCUUUGAAAGAGACUAAGUACAGCACCGUGGAGAAGGAAUGCUUGGCCAUUAAGUGGGUAGUCCUCACUCUCCAUUACUACCUGUUGGGGUGCGCCUUCACCCUCUGUUCAGAUCACGCCCUGCUCCAGUUACUCCACUGCAUGAAGGAUACUAAGGAGUGGAUCACCCAUUGGUAUCUGGCGUUACAGCCUUUUAAGUUCGAGGUGGUCCACAGGCUGGCGGCGCAGAUGGCUGUCACGGAUUUCCUCUCCAGAAAGGGUGGGAGGGGGUUUGUGCGGUCAGGCCGGAUGGCUCCAUGGGGGGGUAUGUGGGGGGGUAUGUGGCGAGGGUGUGGUUGAGUGUCCGUCCAUGGAGAGGGGAAGCAGUAAGGAUUCAUCCCUGGGUGACAAUUAGGUCUAACAGCUGUUUCUUGUUGCAGUUAUUCAGGAAGAGCAAUAAGAGGAGCCCACACCAGAGCCCAGAGAGGGAGAACUACACAGCUAUAGCACGCAUGAGAGUGUUUACAAUCUGUACAGAGUGUAUUUUGAGUAAAUAAAAGAGUGUG